rnacentral:rRNA from 1 species
UGGGGAAUCUUGGGCAAUGGGGGAAACCCUGACCCAGCAACGCCGCGUGAAGGAUGAAGUAUUUCGGUAUGUAAACUUCGAAAGAAUAGGAAGAAUAAAUGACGGUACUAUUUAUAAGGUCCGGCUAACUACGUGCCAGCAGCCGCGGUAAUACGUAGGGACCAAGCGUUGUUCGGAUUUACUGGGCGUAAAGGGCGCGUAGGCGGCAUGACAAGUCACUUGUGAAAUCUCUGGGCUUAACCCAGAACGGCCAAGUGAUACUGUCGCGCUAGAGUGCAGAAGGGGCAAUCGGAAUUCUUGGUGUAGCGGUGAAAUGCGUAGGAUAUCAAGAGGAACACCUGAGGUGAAGACGGGUUGCUGGGCUGACACUGACGCUGAGGCGCGAAA